rnacentral:rRNA from 1 species
AUUGAACGCUGGCGGCAUGCCUUACACAUGCAAGUCGAACGGUAACGCGGGGCAACCUGGCGACGAGUGGCGAACGGGUGAGUAAAGCAUCGGAGCGUGCCCAGUAGUGGGGGAUAGCCCGGCGAAAGCCGGAUUAAUACCGCAUACGACCUAUGGGUGAAAGGGGGGGAUCGCAAGACCUCUCGCUAUUGGAGCGGCCGAUGUCAGAUUAGGUAGUUGGUGGGUAAAGGCCUACCAAGCCGACGAUCUGUAGCUGGUCUGAGAGGACAACCAGGCACGCUGGGACUGAGAGACGGCCCAGACACCUACGGGAGGCAGCAGUGGGGAAUUUGGGACAAUGGGCGCAAGCCUGAUCCAGCCAGGCCGCGUGCGGGAAGAAGGCCUUCGGGCUGUAAACCGCUUUUGUCAGGGAAGAAAUCCUUUGGGUUAAUACCUCGGGGGGAUGACGGUACCUGAAGAAUAAGCACCGGCUAACUACGUGCCAGCAGCCGCGGUAA